GAUGAAGAACGCAGCGAAAUGCGAUAAGUAAUGUGAAUUGCAGAAUUCAGUGAAUCAUCGAAUCUUUGAACGCAUCUUGCGCUCCUUGGUAUUCUGAGGAGCAUGCCUGUUUGAGUGUCAUUAAAUUCUCAACUACACUGACUUUGAAUUGGUGUGGCUUGGAUUUGGGGGGAAAAUUGUUGUGGGCUUUUUGUAUAGUCUGCUCCCCUGAAAUUGAUUAGCGGUACCUUUGUGGAACUGUCUACAGGUGUGGUAAUUAUCUACAUCUUAGACAUCUGCUGGAAUGCUGCUUUCUAAACCUUACUUGUAUUGACAAUCUUGACCUCAAAUCAGGUAGGACUACCCGCUGAACUUAAGCAUAUCAAUAAGCGGAGGA
rnacentral:misc_RNA from 1 species